AACGAACGCUGGCGGCGUGCCUAACACAUGCAAGUCGAACGAGAAAGGGGCUUCGGCUCCGAGUAAAGUGGCGCACGGGUGAGUAACACGUGGGUAACCUGCCUCUAAGAUUGGGAUAACUCGUCGAAAGAUGAGCUAAUACCGGAUAAGACCACAGUUCCCGCGGGAACAGGGGUCAAAGGUAGCCUCUGCUUGCAAGCUAUCACUUAGAGAUGGGCCUGCGCACCAUUAGCUAGUUGGUAGGGUAACGGCCUACCAAGGCAAAGAUGGUUAGCUGGUCUGAGAGGAUGAUCAGCCACACUGGAACUGAGACACGGUCCAGACUCCUACGGGAGGCAGCAGUGGGGAAUAUUGCGCAAUGGGCGAAAGCUUGACGCAGCAACGCCGCGUGAGUGAUGAAGGCCUUCGGGUCGUAAAGCUCUGUCGGGAGGAACGAAUGCUCCCAAGGUUAACAGCCUCGGGAGGUGACGGUACCUUCAAAGGAAGCACCGGCUAACUCUGUGCCAGCAGCCGCCGUAACAC
rnacentral:rRNA from 1 species